rnacentral:snRNA from 1 species
AGCUGCGCAGUGGGCACAGAGCGAACUAUUCUUUCGCCUUUUACUAAAGAAUACCGUGUGCUCGCUGCAAAUAGCAGCAUACUACUCUAAUUUUUUGAGGGGAUUUUCUAUAUAAGGAGAAC